rnacentral:SRP_RNA from 1 species
GCCGGGCGCGGUGGCGCGCGCCUGUAGUCCCAGCUACUCGGGAGGCUGAGGCAGGAGGAUCGCUUGAGUCCAGGAGUUCUGGGCUGUAGUGCGCUAUGCCGAUCGGGUGUCCGCACUAAGUUCGGCAUCAAUAUGGUGACCUCCCGGGAGCGGGGGACCACCAGGUUGCCUAAGGAGGGGUGAACCGGCCCAGGUCGGAAACGGAGCAGGUCAAAACUCCCGUGCUGAUCAGUAGUGGGGUCGCGCCUGUGAAUAGCUACUGCACUCCAGCCUGGGCAACAUAGCGAGACCCCGUCUCUU